AAAGGAAGGCAGCAUGGUUGUGUGUACGGAAAUUGAUUUCUUUAGGGUCAACAUGUCUGCUCUCAAUGAUAACUACUCCUGAUUUGAGGGCCUGGUUCAUACCUACAUUU